AACCUCCGCAAUGCGCGAAAGCGUGACGGGGCUAUCCCGAGUGCUGUCCGCUGAGGGCAACUUUUGUUCGGUGUAAGGAGCCGGACGAAUAAGGGGAGGGCAAGUCUGGUGUCAGCCGCCGCGGUAAUACCAGCUCCCCGAGUGGUUGGGACGAUUAUUGGGUCUAAAGCGUCCGUAGCCGGUUGGAGAAGUUCUCCGUUAAAUCCAACGAUCCAAUCGUUGGGCUGCGGAGAUUACUCUUCAGCUUGGGGGCGGAGGAUGUCGACGGUAGUCCCGGGGUAGGGGCGAAAUCCUAUAAUCCCGGGAGGACCACCAGUGGCGAAGGCGGUCGACAAAUACGCGCCCGACGGUGAGGGACGAAAGCUGGGGGAGCGAACGGG
rnacentral:rRNA from 1 species